GGUCUCUCCACAGGUGCAUCUCAAAAACAAAUGAUAUUGUGGAAAAGUUCAUUUCCUCCCGUAAUUCAAAUAAAAAGGUGACACCUUCAUAUAUUCUAUAUUCAUUACACAUAAAGUGAAACAUUUCAAGCAUUUUUUGUUUGUCUUGAUGAUAAUCUUGAUGACAGAAAUCCAGUGUCUCAAAAUAUUAGAAUAAAAAAGGUUUAAUACAGAAACGUAGACCAGAGAAGAGCUCUAAUCAGCAAUAAUCAGUAAUACCACGGGCAGCAAACCAGUUACCAGUUCUUUUUUUCCUUCGACCAGGUAAGACACUUCUGACCAUGUCUCUGGUUCAGGAGUGGCUUGACACUAGGAAUGUGACACUUUGUAGCCCAUUUCCUAGACACAUCUGUGCGUGGUGGCACUUGAUGCACUGACUCACUUGUGAAGCUCCCCCAAGUUCUUGAAUCGACUUUGCUUGACAAUCCUCUCAAGGCUGCGGUCACCCCUGUUGCUUGUGCUCCUUUUGCUACCACACUUUUCCCUUCCAGUCAACUUUCUACGAAUAUGCUUUGAUACAGCACUCUGCGAACAGCCAGCCCUCUCAGCAAUGAUCUUCUGUGGGUUACCCUCCUCAUGGAGGGUACAACUGUCUUCUGGACAACUGUCAAGUCAGCAGUCUUCCCCAUGAUUGUGGUUGUGUUUACUAAACCAGACUGAUAGACUGAAGGCUCUGGGAGUUAAUUAGAUUAGAGCUCUUCUCAGGUCGAUAUUUCUGUAUUGUACAUUUUUAUUCUAAUAUUUUGAAAUACUGGAUUAUUGAUUUCCAUGAGCUGUAAGCCGUAGUCAUCAAGAUUGAAACAAAAAAGGCUUGAAAUGUUUCACUAUGUUUAAUGAAUCUAGAAUAUAUGAAGGUGUCACUUUUGAAUUUGAAUUACAGAUUUUUUUUUUAACUUUUCCACGAUAUUACAUUUUUUGAGAUGCGUCUGUAUGUAACAACUAAGAGUACACCCAUGAUCACACUGUAUUCUAAAUAAGUACUGCUCAGAGAACUAGUCAUCUUCAUAUAUUAAUGCUCCUUAAUGUUGCAGCAGCCUACAUCACACUGUUGUAUAUUUUCUUAAAGAUGUAUUUUAUCUGUGCUGAUUUUUGUUGUUAUUCAUGUUGUAUGAUGAAUAUUGUAUGAACUGAACAUUGUCUGAUGUAUAUUGAAUAUUGAUAUAUUGAUGAAUGGUUUGGUAUGUCUGCUGUGUGAUAUUUGUUGUGUUUGAGUGAGCCUGCUGUGCAUAACCUUUUAGAUUAGUCUGAUGUGUUCUCUAGUUGGUGUGAUAUUGCCGUGGUCUACUACAGCUACAUCAGCCCUUUAAACACUUGGCCAGAGUGAGUCCUGUGUACCACUAUGGACGCUUUAAUUGAAGUGGGCUACUUCCUUCCUGCCAAUUAGUAAAACACUCCUUGAGCUUUAAAGGAAGAACUGUCUAGAGGGCUCUUUGAAAUAUGCACAGGAUAAAAAAUAACCAUCCACGGCGUCCAACUAACAUCAAGCAAACAAAUAAUUAGUUCCCUAGGAUUUUUUUUACCCCUGUUUUUGAAAUCCCACCACAGAGUUUUAUCAGGUCAAGGUAAUGUGGUUUAGCUGGUAGGCCCUGUUGACCGCUGGCCAGCAGAGGGCAGCACACUAUUACAUUCAGUACAACUAGUGUCUCAGCAGUGUGAUUGCUAAAACUUUAUUUUUUGUUAAAUAAUUAGAUUUUUCUUUAUAAAAAAACACCAGCAAAAUAUACACUUUGUGUACACUAAUAUUAUACUACUUUGUUUCAACAACAAAAUGCCAGGCCUAUUUUAGGCAUAUGGGUAGUAAACAGCCUUGGAAUUGUGUAUUGUUGAAUUGAAUUGUCCAUUAUUCAAAUAUUAUUUUAAAAAGCAAAAAACGGGAUUAUUAUAUUAACCUCAAAAUGAUUCUUGCAAGAUGGAAGUGUUUUUUUGUUUUGAACAAAGAUAUGUGAUGGAGCAUACGUGUGCAUGGCUUUUUUAUGUGGAUUGAUAUAUUAGCAACAAUAUAUUACAUAGGCCCUUCUGUAUUUUUUGUGAACUUUAUACCAACAAUGUCUGACAGACUAACCUAUUUAGUCCCCUGACCAAAAUGACGGGAAAUUAUGGGUAUUUCAUUAGAGGUGUAGACUACGAUUCCACUGCAAUCUUACUUUUUUAAUCCUUUUUAUUUUUAAGUGAAAGAAUAAUACAUAUCUGUUUGCGUACAAUGUUUGAAAAUGAAAUUGAAAGGUUGUAAUAAAUAUAUUCUCAAAACAUUGUGUUGCUUA
ensembl:lncRNA